UCAGGAGAGCCUGUUCAGUGAAUGAAUGGAGAGGUGGGGGAGAAAUGAGGCACAUGCGGCGACCCCCCCCCCGAAGAAACCUGUAUGGUUGGAAGAGAGAGGGGGGCUGAGCUUCAGAGAAUCUGCAGAUACGAGAGGGAGGAAGUGCAAGCACGGAGUGAGCGGGGCGGCUUCGCUACGGCAGCGUCAACAGACAAGGCAAACGGUUCCUGUAGCCAAGCCAGCCCAAAGCUGCUUGUCAGUUCAAUGGGCUGAGGAGAAGGAAACAGAAACGCAAAAAGAGCCGAGGCCACGAAAAGCAGCCCAAACAAGUGUUGUUGCACGUUUUUGACUCACACAGGACUCUUUGUCAAGCUACUUUGGGGGGGGAGUUACUUUUAGGGCUGUAACAUUUAUUUAUUUAUUUAUAAUUUAUUAGAAUGUUCACAUUGCUACAACCAUGUCUCUUAUUCCCUCCCCUUUCACCGUACCACCCUGAUCACCAGGUUCCCUUGGUCUGUCCCCAUAUCCUUUGUACUUAAGAGUAUUUUUAUUUCUGACAUUCAGUGGUUUGGGGUAUUGUACAAUAUAAAACUUUGCAUGCUUAAA